CAAUGGGCGGCCUCCUUCUUUUCUUGCCGUGCUUGCUUACGGGCCGGAGGCGGCUGGAGGGGGAGGGAUUGGCGGUAGCGCCGGUACCAAUGGUGGUGAGUUGCUGUGGGGAAGAGACGCUCCUGAGUUGGCGGCCGGCUUUCUGCCGCCGCGAGCAGAGGAAGGACGUCGAUUACUGCUUAUGCUGGAGCAUUUAUUAUUUGUGGACCACUAUACUUCACUUGAUUCAUAACACAGAUCUGGAUACCUGGAUAUAUAAAACACUUAUUUUAGAGGAGUUUCCCAUAGAACCCUUGUCUUGGACAGACUCUGCUUUGGCAGGUCAGCAGUGUAUCCAUUUCACAAAUAU